UAGUUCAAGUUUUAUGGCUUUUGGGGUCUCGACGAAGUAGAUGACUUGUCGAAAGGUUUGGUUAUGUAUUUAGGAAUUCGGUUUGGAAAGAACCAAGGAUUUGGUUUUAAAUGUGGUUGUAUCCAGAUUUAAAUCCAGACUGCCUACAUACCCUGUGAAGGGAUCAAACCAUUGUAGUUCGAAAGAUUUGGGUUUUUGGGACUUCUCGGUUUUAUACCGAGUGGAAUUUUACAUUUUUGGUAUAGUUUGGUUGGUCUCGAAGCAUUCUUUUUGUGAAACCAAACUUUGGGUAACUUUGGUUGAUCUGGACACCCAUGUCUUGGAGGCCCAGUAACUUUGGAAUGAACUCUUAACACAAGUCUUUCUUUGGAGCCCAUGUAGGUGUAGACAGAGCCUAGCUACUUUGGAGGCCCGGUUUCUUGAGAGCCCCAACUUUUCUUUUUGUUUUCUUUGAGGUUCAGUAAUCACCAUCACCAUUUCUCAUUCUUUCCCUCAUAUGUAGUAUUGGAAGAUACAUGAACUUUCAGCAUCUAGCUUUCGAGAUAGCUUCAAAGAAAACAGAAACCGAUUUGGGAACGGAAUCAGAGAUGGCAGCGACUUCUUUCCAUCUUGCAAGGACUUCGAAUCCACAAAGAAAAUCUGGGUAAGGUUUCAUUCUUUGAUUUAGCCCUUCAUUCGACUACAAACGGCAAUGACUGAACCUUUUUCUUCUUUACUUGUUGGGACAUUGAAAUUUGAUUAAGGGCAUUGACUUUUUUUCAAAUCCCUGAAGAACACAAGUCUUGGGAAUGUGUUCUUGUCAAAUCAAAACAGAGAUGGAUUUCAAGUCAGAAAUUGAGUCCGAGAUGGAAUUGCAUUUGGGUGAUGGCUGGGUUCGCAUCUCAGAAGGAUUUGAGCUUGCAAUCGGGCUUUAUACCCAUAGAACAGGUGAGGACUUUUCUCUUUCCAUACUUCUUUGAUUUGUACGAAUUGGAAGCUGAAAUUUUGUGUUUGCUUCCUUGUUGGUGGCACUGGGCAAGCGAAAUUGUAUUUGACUGGUCUUGGUGAGUUUUGUGUUGAGACAUGGAAGUGCCAUUGCGGGAACAUACCAAGAGGGUGAGUUCCUUUCUUUUGUGCACACAAGACAAAAAUUUGUCUUGUUCAUCAUUCUUCAAACUGGACAUGACCAUCAUACCCUUUUUUUAUUUGAGUGCUAUGUCAAGUUUGUGAAGUUUUGUCUUCUUGUUGAGAGAUUAGAUAGAGCUCCACCGCUUGGACUUUUCUCUCCCAAUCUUUGUAUUUAUCUUGACAGGUUCUCUUUUCAACUGCUCAAAGACAUCGGUGCUGCAGUCUCACUAAACAAAGGGCUCAGAGUUUUUAUUUGAGAGCUUUUAUUGUUUUAGCUUAAAUUGGUGUUUGUGUGAGAACUCUGGGAGUUGGGGGAAUUUGUUUGGCUGGUGAUUUUGGAGAUAACAGUGGAUAGGUUGGUGUUCUGGUAACAUAGAGUUUGGAGGUGUAUUUAGGGGGGUGUAUUGCAUUUGGAUUCAUACAGAGUUAUUUUAAUCAAUUGGCUUUUUGAAAAGUCUACAGACUCUUUAAAAAGUUCAUAGACUUUCAUUGAUUUCUUAAAACCAUCGAUUUUUAAUCAUAGACUUUCACUGAUUUCUGAAAUCUACAGAUUUCAUAUGAAUGACUUAUGUAGAUUUCUUAAUACUUACAGAGUUACAGGAAAUGAACAAAAAUAAAGAUGCAAUGACAAACACAUAAUGACACCGAUUAUAAGUUGAGUGUUCAUCUAUCUAAUUUCGAUGCAUACAUUUAUAAUAUUUGAUUGAAAUACAUAAACAUAGGUAACAAAAAAAUUAUAUUAACUUAACAACACGCAUAGUACGUAAACCAAAAACACAUUAUAAAGUGGGACAUUAGAUGUUCAUAAGUUUAAUUCAUGUACGCUAAUAUAAUAAUAUAUGAUCAUGUGGUUCUAAUAUCAAGAGUUAGUAGAUAAUAUUUUAGGUUAUCGAGGAUUCCAAGCAUUACAAUUGAAAUACAACAAAAUAUUAACAUUCAAAAAACAUUGAAAAGAAUAGGUAGAAUAGAACAUUGAUAGCAC
rnacentral:lncRNA from 1 species